GAUGAACGCUAGCUACAGGCUUAACACAUGCAAGUCGAGGGGCAGCAUGAACUUAGCUUGCUAAGUUUGAUGGCGACCGGCGCACGGGUGAGUAACACGUAUCCAACCUGCCGAUGACUCGGGGAUAGCCUUUCGAAAGAAAGAUUAAUACCCGAUGGCAUAGUUCUUCCGCAUGGUAGAACUAUUAAAGAAUUUCGGUCAUCGAUGGGGAUGCGUUCCAUUAGGUUGUUGGCGGGGUAACGGCCCACCAAGCCUUCGAUGGAUAGGGGUUCUGAGAGGAAGGUCCCCCCACAUUGGAACUGAGACACGGUCCAAACUCCUACGGGAGGCAGCAGUGAGGAAUAUUGGUCAAUGGACGAGAGUCUGAACCAGCCAAGUAGCGUGAAGGAUGACUGCCCUAUGGGUUGUAAACUUCUUUUAUACGGGAAUAAAGUGAGGCACGUGUGCCUUUUGUAUGUACCGUAUGAAUAAGGAUCGGCUAACUCCGUGCCAGCAGCCGCGGU
rnacentral:rRNA from 1 species